rnacentral:rRNA from 1 species
CUAUACAUGACUCUGCGCAUAUCAAUAAGCGGAGGAAAAGAAACUAACAAGGAUUCCCCUAGUAACGGCGAGUGAAGCGGGAAGAGCUCAAAUUUGAAAUCUUAAAGGUUUUCCCUUGACGAAUUGUAGUUUAAAGAAGUGUUUUCUGCUGAAGUUUUGGUAGAAAGUUCUUUGGAAUAGGACAUCAUAGAGGGUGAGAAUCCCGUAUUUGACCAUUAUUUUCAGCUUUGUGAUACACUUUCAAAGAGUCGGAUUGUUUGGGAAUGCAGUCCAAAAUGGGUGGUAAAUUUCAUCUAAAGCUAAAUAUUGGCGAGAGACCGAUAGCGAACAAGUACCGUGAGGGAAAGAUGAAAAGAACUUUGAAAAGAGAGUUAAACAGUACGUGAAAUUGUCAAAAGGGAAGCGUUUGACACCAGUGUUGUUUUUCUGAAAAUCAAUUAAAGAACUGUUUAUGCUAAGUUGUUUAGACUUUAUCAGCUAACUGUUUAGUUUUGAGCUUUUCUUUAAUGCACUUUUCAGUUAACAAGUCAACAUCAAUUUCUUUUGCUGUAAAAAAGCUUGAGGAAGGUGGCUUGAGAUUCGUCUUAAGUGUUUAUAGCCUCUUGCCUAUGCAGUCGGAGAGAUUGAGGUCUGCAGCGUAGAUCCUUCGGGGCUAAAUGCAUUUGUGCUAAGUUAUAGCAUUUUAUAGACAACUUGUUGACUAUGAUUUGUCUUGUAGCUUACUCGCUUAUGUUAUUUUACCUACGCUUAGGAUGUUGACAGCAGUAUAGACUGU